GAUUAGUGGCGACGGGUGAGUAACACGUGGGCAAUCUGCCCUUCACUCUGGGACAAGCCCUGGAAACGGGGUCUAAUACCGGAUAAUACUUUCUCCCUCCUGGGAGAAGGUUGAAAGCUCCGGCGGUGAAGGAUGAGCCCGCGGCCUAUCAGCUAGUUGGUGGGGUAAUGGCCUACCAAGGCGACGACGGGUAGCCGGCCUGAGAGGGCGACCGGCCACACUGGGACUGAGACACGGCCCAGACUCCUACGGGAGGCAGCAGUGGGGAAUAUUGCACAAUGGGCGAAAGCCUGAUGCAGCGACGCCGCGUGAGGGAUGACGGCCUUCGGGUUGUAAACCUCUUUCAGCAGGGAAGAAGCGAAAGUGACGGUACCUGCAGAAGAAGCGCCGGCUAACUACGUGCCAGCAGCCGCGGUAAUACGUAGGGCGCAAGCGUUGUCCGGAAUUAUUGGGCGUAAAGAGCUCGUAGGCGGCUUGUCACGUCGGUUGUGAAAGCCCGGGGCUUAACCCCGGGUCUGCAGUCGAUACGGGCAGGCUAGAGUGUGGUAGGGGAGAUCGGAAUUCCUGGUGUAGCGGUGAAAUGCGCAGAUAUCAGGAGGAACACCGGUGGCGAAGGCGGAUCUCUGGGCCAUUACUGACGCUGAGGAGCGAAAGCGUGGGGAGCGAACAGGAUUAGAUACCCUGGUAGUCCACGCCGUAAACGUUGGGAACUAGGUGUUGGCGACAUUCCACGUCGUCGGUGCCGCAGCUAACGCAUUAAGUUCCCCGCCUGGGGAGUACGGCCGCAAGGCUAAACUCAAAGGAAUUGACGG
rnacentral:rRNA from 1 species